rnacentral:rRNA from 1 species
GGUUAAGCGACUAAGCGUACACGGUGGAUGCCCUGGCAGUCAGAGGCGAUGAAGGACGUGCUAAUCUGCGAUAAGCGCCGGUAAGGUGAUAUGAACCGUUAUAACCGGCGAUUUCCGAAUGGGGAAACCCAGUGUGAUUCGUCACACUAUCAUUAACUGAAUCCAUAGGUUAAUGAGGCGAACCGGGGGAACUGAAACAUCUAAGUACCCCGAGGAAAAGAAAUCAACCGAGAUUCCCCCAGUAGCGGCGAGCGAACGGGGAGGAGCCCAGAGCCUGAAUCAGCAUGUGUGUUAGUGGAAGCGUCUGGAAAGGCGCGCGAUACAGGGUGACAGCCCCGUACACAAAAGCGCAUGUGCUGUGAGCUCGAUGAGUAGGGCGGGACACGUGGUAUCCUGUCUGAAUAUGGGGGGACCAUCCUCCAAGGCUAAAUACUCCUGACUGACCGAUAGUGAACCAGUACCGUGAGGGAAAGGCGAAAAGAACCCCGGCGAGGGGAGUGAAAAAGAACCUGAAACCGUGUACGUACAAGCAGUGGGAGCACAGGUUUACCUGUGUGACUGCGUACCUUUUGUAUAAUGGGUCAGCGACUUAUAUUCUGUAGCAAGGUUAACCGAAUAGGGGAGCCGGAGGGAAACCGAGUCUUAAUUGGGCGUUAAGUUGCAGGGUAUAGACCCGAAACCCGGUGAUCUAGCCAUGGGCAGGUUGAAGGUUGGGUAACACUAACUGGAGGACCGAACCGACUAAUGUUGAAAAAUUAGCGGAUGACCUGUGGCUGGGGGUGAAAGGCCAAUCAAACCGGGAGAUAGCUGGUUCUCCCCGAAAGCUAUUUAGGUAGCGCCUCGUGAAUUCAUCUCCGGGGGUAGAGCACUGUUUCGGCUAGGGGGCCAUCCCGGCUUACCAACCCGAUGCAAACUGCGAAUACCGGAGAAUGUUAUCACGGGAGACACACGGCGGGUGCUAACGUCCGUCGUGAAGAGGGAAACAACCCAGACCGCCAGCUAAGGUCCCAAAGUCAUGGUUAAGUGGGAAACGAUGUGGGAAGGCCCAGACAGCCAGGAUGUUGGCUUAGAAGCAGCCAUCAUUUAAAGAAAGCGUAAUAGCUCACUGGUCGAGUCGGCCUGCGCGGAAGAUGUAACGGGGCUAAACCAUGCACCGAAGCUGCGGCAGCGACGCUGAUGCGUUGUUGGGUAGGGGAGCGUUCUGUAAGCCUGUGAAGGUGUGUCGUGAGGCAUGCUGGAGGUAUCAGAAGUGCGAAUGCUGACAUAAGUAACGAUAAAGCGGGUGAAAAGCCCGCUCGCCGGAAGACCAAGGGUUCCUGUCCAACGUUAAUCGGGGCAGGGUGAGUCGACCCCUAAGGCGAGGCCGAAAGGCGUAGUCGAUGGGAAACGGGUUAAUAUUCCCGUACUUGGUGUUACUGCGAAGGGGGGACGGAGAAGGCUAUGUUGGCCGGGCGACGGUUGUCCCGGUUUAAGCGUGUAGGUGUGUGUUCCAGGUAAAUCCGGUUCACUUUAACACUGAGGCGUGACGACGAGGCACUACGGUGCUGAAGCAACAAAUGCCCUGCUUCCAGGAAAAGCCUCUAAGCAUCAGGUAACAUCAAAUCGUACCCCAAACCGACACAGGUGGUCAGGUAGAGAAUACCAAGGCGCUUGAGAGAACUCGGGUGAAGGAACUAGGCAAAAUGGUGCCGUAACUUCGGGAGAAGGCACGCUGACAUGUAGGUGAAGUGAUUUACUCAUGGAGCUGAAGUCAGUCGAAGAUACCAGCUGGCUGCAACUGUUUAUUAAAAACACAGCACUGUGCAAACACGAAAGUGGACGUAUACGGUGUGACGCCUGCCCGGUGCCGGAAGGUUAAUUGAUGGGGUCAGCGCAAGCGAAGCUCCUGAUCGAAGCCCCGGUAAACGGCGGCCGUAACUAUAACGGUCCUAAGGUAGCGAAAUUCCUUGUCGGGUAAGUUCCGACCUGCACGAAUGGCGUAAUGAUGGCCAGGCUGUCUCCACCCGAGACUCAGUGAAAUUGAACUCGCUGUGAAGAUGCAGUGUACCCGCGGCAAGACGGAAAGACCCCGUGAACCUUUACUAUAGCUUGACACUGAACAUUGAGCCUUGAUGUGUAGGAUAGGUGGGAGGCUUUGAAGCGUGGACGCCAGUCUGCGUGGAGCCGACCUUGAAAUACCACCCUUUAAUGUUUGAUGUUCUAACGUGGACCCGUAAUCCGGGUUGCGGACAGUGUCUGGUGGGUAGUUUGACUGGGGCGGUCUCCUCCUAAAGAGUAACGGAGGAGCACGAAGGUUGGCUAAUCCUGGUCGGACAUCAGGAGGUUAGUGCAAUGGCAUAAGCCAGCUUGACUGCGAGCGUGACGGCGCGAGCAGGUGCGAAAGCAGGUCAUAGUGAUCCGGUGGUUCUGAAUGGAAGGGCCAUCGCUCAACGGAUAAAAGGUACUCCGGGGAUAACAGGCUGAUACCGCCCAAGAGUUCAUAUCGACGGCGGUGUUUGGCACCUCGAUGUCGGCUCAUCACAUCCUGGGGCUGAAGUAGGUCCCAAGGGUAUGGCUGUUCGCCAUUUAAAGUGGUACGCGAGCUGGGUUUAGAACGUCGUGAGACAGUUCGGUCCCUAUCUGCCGUGGGCGCUGGAGAACUGAGGGGGGCUGCUCCUAGUACGAGAGGACCGGAGUGGACGCAUCACUGGUGUUCGGGUUGUCAUGCCAAUGGCACUGCCCGGUAGCUAAAUGCGGAAGAGAUAAGUGCUGAAAGCAUCUAAGCACGAAACUUGCCCCGAGAUGAGUUCUCCCUGAGACUUAGAGUCUCCUGAAGGAACGUUGAAGACGACGACGUUGAUAGGCCGGGUGUGUAAGCGCAGCGAUGCGUUGAGCUAACCGGUACUAAUGAACCGUGAGGCUUAACCUU